GUUUUUCUAUGCCUGGAGAUAAUUGAGUUAGUUCAGUUCCUGACUCCUUUAUUUCUCAGGCACAAAGGAUGAGUUUGUAACUUUUAGCUAGUCCCCUCUCAGGUCCAAAAGAAGGAUUAUCCUGUUUGUGUGGAAGUGUCAGGGGCGUGCCUAACUUUAACUGAAAUUGUAUAACAGCAGGCCAUCUGGCCAGAUUAAAACAUUCCAGUUUGAACUCCCAGAACUAUGUGUCGUCUGGUUACUGGGAGGGGAAAGGGCUAAUAUCUACUCCAGCUUGUUCCAGUGUGGAGGAUUCAAC